rnacentral:rRNA from 1 species
UACGAAGGGGGCUAGCGUUGUUCGGAUUUACUGGGCGUAAAGCGCACGUAGGCGGAUCGUUAAGUCGGGGGUGAAAUCCUGGAGCUCAACUCCAGAACUGCCUUCGAUACUGGCGAUCUUGAGUCCGGAAGAGGUGAGUGGAACUCCUAGUGUAGAGGUGGAAUUCGUAGAUAUUAGGAAGAACACCGGUGGCGAAGGCGGGUCUCUGGG